rnacentral:rRNA from 1 species
GAUGAACGCUGGCGGCGUGCCUAAUACAUGCAAGUCGAGCGAACAGAUGAGGAGCUUGCUCCUCUGACGUUAGCGGCGGACGGGUGAGUAACACGUGGAUAACCUACCUAUAAGACUGGGAUAACUUCGGGAAACCGGAGCUAAUACCGGAUAAUAUAUUGAACCGCAUGGUUCAAUAGUGAAAGACGGUUUUGCUGUCACUUAUAGAUGGAUCCGCGCCGCAUUAGCUAGUUGGUAAGGUAACGGCUUACCAAGGCAACGAUGCGUAGCCGACCUGAGAGGGUGAUCGGCCACACUGGAACUGAGACACGGUCCAGACUCCUACGGGAGGCCGCAGUAGGGACUCUUCCGCAAUGGGCGAAAGCCUGACGGUGCAACGCCGCGUGAGUCAUGAAGGUCUUCGGAUCGUAGAACUCUGUUAUUAGGGAAGAACAAAUGUGUAAGUAACUAUGCACGUCUUGACGGUACCUAAUCAGAAAGCCACGGCUAACUACGUG